AUUCCAUGAUGGGGACACUUCCUUAAAAACCCCUUGAAGCGCUCCCAUCCAUCAUACAAUGUCUCCCUGUCAUCUAGUGGAAAUUAAUAAUUUCACCUCUCAACUU